AGGGCAUUCUCAGCAAUUAUU
rnacentral:snRNA from 1 species